rnacentral:lncRNA from 1 species
AUGUAUAAAUUGUUCUGUACACAAUUACCACAGACAAUUGCACGUAUGCAAAGGAAAGAUAUAUAGCCACAAUGGCCUUAGUUUGGGCUAUUUGCUUUUGUGUUUGUUAUGCUGGGGGCUGUGCUAGUUCAAUUGGAUCCCCUUUGGAAUCAUCACUUCAAUGUUCCAAAUAUCAUUUUGAAGAAAAAGUCUUGGAAAAACUUGUUCGUUUAGAACUAAAAAUGGAAAUGUAUGAAGCAAAAAUAAAAACUUGGGAAGAUUCGAUUCCAACAAACCUUGAUAAAAUUGAUAAUGCCAAGAGGCAGACUGAAACAUUUUUAGAAUCAAUGCGGGAUAUACUCGAACAGGAGCAAACCCGUUUAAAUGGUUCAUUCCACGAAACUGUUGAAAAUUUGUAUAUCAAAUCGGAAAGUAAAGUCAAAAGUGCUUUAGAUUUAUUAUCAUAUAAAAUUGAAGAAUACAGCGAAUCACAGAAUAGAAGAGAAAAUUCCUUUGAACUAUUACGGUCUUCUUUCCGUCAAGAGCAGAAACAUUUUAAACAGGAACGGAUAAGAAUAAAUAAUGCCACCCAGGAAACUGUUGAGAAUAUAUAUCGUCAGUCGGAGAGUAAAGUCAAAAGUGUUACCAAUUCAUUAUCAAUCAAAAUAGGGGAAUUCGAGAAAAAAAGUGAAAAUGUCCUUGAUCUGUUACAGUCUUCUUUUCAGAAAGAGCAGGAACAGUUUAAGCAGAUGCAAAUACGAUUAAAUGAUUUAUUGCAGGAAACUGUUGAAAAUAUGUAUCAUCAGUCGGAGAUUAAAGUCAAAAGUGUUAUAGAUUCAUUUUCAACUAAAGUUGGGGAAUACGAGAAAAGCAGUGAAAAUGCCUUGGAAGUAUUAUAUUCUACUCUGCUCAAAGAGCAGCAACGAUUGAACGAUUCCUUGCAGGCAACUGUUGACAAUAUUCAAACUGAGACUGAAAGUAAAGUCAAAAGUAUGAUAGAUUCAAUAUCA